AUUGAACGCUGGCGGCAUGCCUUACACAUGCAAGUCGAACGGCAGCACGGGUGCUUGCACCUGGUGGCGAGUGGCGAACGGGUGAGUAAUACAUCGAAACAUGUCCUGUAGUGGGGGAUAGCCCGGCGAAAGCCGGAUUAAUACCGCAUACGAUCUACGGAUGAAAGCGGGGGACCUUCGGGCCUCGCGCUAUAGGGUUGGCCGAUGGCUGAUUAGCUAGUUGGUGGGGUAAAGGCCUACCAAGGCGACGAUCAGUAGCUGGUCUGAGAGGACGACCAGCCACACUGGGACUGAGACACGGCCCAGACUCCUACGGGAGGCAGCAGUGGGGAAUUUUGGACAAUGGGCGAAAGCCUGAUCCAGCAAUGCCGCGUGUGUGAAGAAGGCCUUCGGGUUGUAAAGCACUUUUGUCCGGAAAGAAAUCCUUGGCCCUAAUACGGUCGGGGGAUGACGGUACCGGAAGAAUAAGCACCGGCUAACUACGUG
rnacentral:rRNA from 1 species